UAACUGGAGAGUUUGAUCCUGGCUCAGAACGAACGUUAGCGGCGCGCUUAACACAUGCAAGUCGAGCGAGAAAGGGCUUCGGCCCCAGUACAGCGGCGCACGGGUGAGUAACACGUGGGUAAUCUACCCCUGAGUGGUGGAUAACCCUCCGAAAGGAGGGCUAAUACAGCAUAAGACCACGACGUCCUCGGGCGUUGUGGCCAAAGCGGGCCUCUUCAUGAAAGCUCGUGCUCGGGGAUGAGCCCGCGGCCCAUCAGCUUGUUGGCGAGGUAAAAGCUCACCAAGGCAAAGACGGGUAGCUGGUCUGAGAGGAUGAACAGCCACACUGGAACUGAGACACGGUCCAGACUCCUACGGGAGGCAGCAGUGGGGAAUCUUGCGCAAUGGGCGAAAGCCUGACGCAGCG
rnacentral:rRNA from 1 species